rnacentral:tRNA from 2 species
GCCGGAAUAGUCUAGCUUGGUAAGGCGCGGGACUUGAAAUCCCGUGGAGACUCUCUCCGCCUGGGUUCAAAUCCCAGUUCCGGCG